CCUGGCUCUGCCACUGAUCACAACCCCCCACCAGGGCUGGCCUCUCCUCAAACCUGGGCACAGCCUAGUGCCAAGCCCUUGCUGAGGACCCCUGCUGCAUCCCCAGUCGCCAGCCAGGAGAGGACACCCGGGCUGCUCUCUACACUGCCAGGGCACCCUCCUCUCCACCCUCCUCACUCCAAGGCAGUCAGCAGGACCCCUGAGCCAGCCUCGGGGCUGGAGGGCUUCGGGUUUUACGCUAAUGGUGCUGGGAUCGUCCGGCCAGAGACAAUGAAGUUGACCCCUGAUGCUGAGAUCCUGAGCCCCACGGGGUCACCACA
rnacentral:lncRNA from 1 species